CUCUUACCUCUGAAUAGCAGAGACUGACUGCCAGCACUGAAUGAGAGACAGCCAGAGACCGCCUGAGACUGCCCAGGGGGAGUGGAGAGGGCGAGGCCAGCAGAGGACUGGGAGUGUGUCACACUAUCGUUUCCUUGCAGUCUCGCGGUGACCUCACUCCCGACAGUUCUCUUUGCCCAUAAAAGGAACAAACCCAAAACCAGGAAAUAAGGAGCGGACCUGCCGGGAGCCCCCUCCUCUGACAUAUAGAGCACCAGCUAACCAGGUGACCUGCAGCUUGACCUAUGGGCUCCUUGCUCAGCCCCCCUUUAUAAGGAAGGGAGGAGCUGCAAUCUGCCUCUUUUGCUCUUGGAUCCUGAGGUCAAGUUCAGUCCAGACGUCUCAGGGUCAGUGUCCAGCACAUCUGGAGGCCUCAAGCCUAACCUACAGCUACAUGUCACUUUCUCAGAAUCCUGAACAUCACAACUGACUUCUUAUUCGGUGAUAUGUCUCCUGUUCACUUAUUGCUGCAUAGCUGGAGAGAUAUGGCAUGCAAGGCCCUGAGAAAACGUUGUGUGAGAGCUGCAAUGACAACCAUUAUGGUCGACACCAAGCUUUCCCAGAAACCUGAACAAUACAUUUGCUUACUUUAAUCAGUAAUAUAUCUCCUGCUUAUUGAAUGUUGCAUGACUAGGCAGGUUUGACAUUCAGAAUCCUAGGACAGCUGAGUGUCCUCCCCUAUUAUUGACUAAAACAUCUGAGCGGUAUCUUUGCUGGAUUUUUUAAGCAGUUUUUCAGGCCGGAACCAGUCUUAAGCAGUUUUGUUAUCUUCCUUAUAAUGUCAUUUAAGAUGAAUUUCUGCAAAAAUUCGGCGCUGUGGGAGUGCCACCACCAGGGAAGCGGGAAGUUCCUGUUUCAGAUCUAUUAUUAACAGGGCAGAUAAUAUUGGGCUUUGUGUUUCUUGUUUCAUAAAUCAACCAAAGAUUUUAUUUCUGGGAAAGCUGGGUGACAACAAUAAUAGUCGCUUUAACCACCGCCAUCAUACAGGCCACAAUGAGAUAUCUACCUAGUGAUGUAGCACAAUGGGAGCCAGGAAUGUGUCCCCCUGUACUAGAGCAGGGCUGGGUAACUACCAAUAUGGCUGCCAUUACUAGGCUUCUCAUUCAACUUUACCAGACUACUGACAGGCAGAUCUGUCUGCAGUACUGGCCCAUGCUGCUAUCUUGGUGCGCUAAAUUCUUUGACCUCAUUGCUAUUGAAAUAGUUUACUUUCCCCCAUAAUGCGCUUCAACAUUGUAACAAACAUCACACCAUCCCGGUAGGAUUUCAUGCACUGUUCAUCCUGAGCUUUCUGGUUCAUGAACAGAAUGCUUUAAUGUCUGCACUGGUAUUCUCAGAUUUAGAAAGAAGAUUAUUAAUAGAAAAAAGACCUCUUGGUCCAACCUAUGUAUUAUUCUGGGUCUGUGAAAAGCUGGGUGAUGGGCAGUGUAAAAAAAAAAUCCUCCCCUCCAGUAAGGAUUUCAGUCACUUUUCAUCCUGGGCAUACUGGUUCAUGAAUAGAAUACUAGAAUAACUGUGUCAGUAAAUACAGAUUUAUGUAUCAUUCUGGGUCUUUGAGAAGCUGGGUGACUGGCAGUACAUGAAAUCUUCCCUUUAGUAAAGAUUUCAUGCACUAUUCAUCCUGAGCCUCCUGGUCCUUGAAUAGAAUACUAGAAUAACUAUGUCACUAUAUUCCGAUUAAUGUAUCAUUCUGGGUCUGUGAAAAGCUGGGUGACUAGCAGUACAUAAAAUCUUCCCUUUAGUAAAGAUUUCAUGCACUGUUCAUCCUGGGCCUCCUGGUCCUUGAAUAGAAUACUAGAAUAACUAUGUCACUAUAUUCCGAUUAAUGUAUCAUUCUGGGUCUGUGAAAAGCUGGGUGACUAGCAGUACAUAAAAUCUUCCCUUUAGUAAAGAUUUCAUGCACUGUUCAUCCUGGGCCUCCUGGUCCUUGAAUAGAAUACUAGAAGAAUUGUCACUAUAUUCAGAUUAAUGUAUCAUUCUGGGUCUGUGAAAAGCUGGGUGACUAGCAGUACAUAAAAUCUUCCCUUUAGUAAAGAUUUCAUGCACUGUUCAUCCUGAGCCUCCUGGUUCCUGAAUAGAAUAUUACAUUUACUGUGUCAGUAUAUUCAGAUUUAUGUUUCAUUCUGGGUCUGUGAAAAGCUGGGUG